rnacentral:rRNA from 1 species
UGGGGAAUAUUGGACAAUGGGCGCAAGCCUGAUCCAGCAAUGCCGCGUGAGUGAGGAAGGCCUUAGGGUUGUAAAGCUCUUUCACCCACGACGAUGAUGACGGUAGUGGGAGAAGAAGCCCCGGCUAACUUCGUGCCAGCAGCCGCGGUAAUACGAAGGGGGCGAGCGUUGUUCGGAUUUACUGGGCGUAAAGGGCGCGCAGGCGGCGGACCAAGUCAGGCGUGAAAGCCCCGGGCUUAACCUGGGAGGUGCGUCUGGGACUGGUAUGCUAGAGUUCGGGAGAGGAGAGUGGAAUUCCCAGUGUAGAGGUGAAAUUCGUAGAUAUUGGGAAGAACACCGGUGGCGAAGGCGGCUCUCUGGACCGAGACUGACGCUGAGGCGCGAAAGCGUGGGGAGCAAACAG